GAGGUGAUCAUCCCAGAUGAAAAAGACAGGAAAUAAAAUUAUGUGCACAGAUUUAGGCUUGGUUCAUUUGCAAAAUGCAACUAUACCAAACUCACAUACAUAAUGUCACAUGUAAUAUUCUUCAACUAACAAAAUAAAGAAACCUGAGGUGGGAACCC
rnacentral:lncRNA from 1 species